rnacentral:rRNA from 1 species
UACAGAGGGUGCAAGCGUUAAUCGGAAUUACUGGGCGUAAAGGGUGCGUAGGUGGUUAUGUAAGUUGGGUGUGAAAUUCCUGGGCUCAACCUGGGGACUGCGCUCAAUACUGUGUAGCUAGAGUACUGUAGAGGAAGGUGGAAUUUCCAGUUGUAGCGGUGAAAUGCGUAGAUAUUGGAAGGAACAUCAGUGGCGAAGGCGACUUUCUGGACAGAUACUGACACUGAGGCACGAAAGCGUGGGGAGCAAACAGG